rnacentral:rRNA from 1 species
UAUCAGAAGUGCGAAUGCUGACAUGAGUAACGACAAAGGGGGUGAAAAACCUCCUCGCCGGAAGACCAAGGGUUCCUGUCCAACGUUAAUCGGGGCAGGGUGAGUCGACCCCUAAGGUGAGGCCGAAAGGCGUAAUCGAUGGGAAACGGGUUAAUAUUCCCGUACUUCUGACUAUUGCGAUGGGGGGACGGAGAAGGCUAGGUGGGCCAGGCGACGGUUGUCCUGGUUCAAGUGCGUAGGCUUGAGAGUUAGGUAAAUCCGGCUCUCUCUAAGGCUGAGACACGACGUCGAGCUACUACGGUAGUGAAGUCAUUGAUGCCAUGCUUCCAGGAAAAGCCUCUAAGCUUCAGAUAGUCAGGAAUCGUACCCCAAACCGACACAGGUGGUCGGGUAGAGAAUACCAAGGCGCUUGAGAGAACUCGGGUGAAGGAACUAGGCAAAAUGGUACCGUAACUUCGGGAGAAGGUACGCUCUUGAUGGUGAAGUCCCUCGCGGAUGGAGCUGACGAGAGUCGCAGAUACCAGGUGGCUGCAACUGUUUAUUAAAAACACAGCACUGUGCAAAAUCGCAAGAUGACGUAUACGGUGUGACGCCUGCCCGGUGCCGGAAGGUUAAUUGAUGGGGUUAGCGCAAGCGAAGCUCUUGAUCGAAGCCCCGGUAAACGGCGGCCGUAACUAUAACGGUCCUAAGGUAGCGAAAUUCCUUGUCGGGUAAGUUCCGACCUGCACGAAUGGCGUAAUGAUGGCCACGCUGUCUCCACCCGAGACUCAGUGAAAUUGAAAUCGCUGUGAAGAUGCAGUGUACCCGCGGCUAGACGGAAAGACCCCGUGAACCUUUACUACAGCUUGGCACUGAACAUUGAACCUACAUGUGUAGGAUAGGUGGGAGGCUAUGAAGACGUGACGCCAGUUGCGUUGGAGCCGUCCUUGAAAUACCACCCUUGUAUGUUUGAUGUUCUAACUUAGACCCAUUAUCUGGGUUGAGGACAGUGCCUGGUGGGUAGUUUGACUGGGGCGGUCUCCUCCCAAAGAGUAACGGAGGAGCACGAAGGUGGGCUAAUCACGGUUGGACAUCGUGAGGUUAGUGCAAUGGCAUAAGCCCGCUUAACUGCGAGAAUGACGGUUCGAGCAGGUGCGAAAGCAGGUCAUAGUGAUCCGGUGGUUCUGUAUGGAAGGGCCAUCGCUCAACGGAUAAAAGGUACUCCGGGGAUAACAGGCUGAUACCGCCCAAGAGUUCAUAUCGACGGCGGUGUUUGGCACCUCGAUGUCGGCUCAUCACAUCCUGGGGCUGAAGUCGGUCCCAAGGGUAUGGCUGUUCGCCAUUUAAAGUGGUACGCGAGCUGGGUUUAGAACGUCGUGAGACAGUUCGGUCCCUAUCUGCCGUGGGCGUUGGAAGAUUGAAGGGGGCUGCUCCUAGUACGAGAGGACCGGAGUGGACGAACCUCUGGUGUUCGGGUUGUGUCGCCAGACGCAUUGCCCGGUAGCUAAGUUCGGAAUUGAUAAGCGCUGAAAGCAUCUAAGCGCGAAGCGAGCCCUGAGAUGAGUCUUCCCUGACAGUUUAACUGUCCUAAAGGGUUGUUCGAGACUAGAACGUUGAUAGGCAGGGUGUGUAAGCGUUGUGAGGCGUUGAGCUAACCUGUACUAAUUGCCCGUGAGGCUUAACCAU